AUUGAACGCUGGCGGCGUGCUUAACACAUGCAAGUCGAUCGGUAACAGGUGUAGCAAUACAUGCUGACGAGAGGCGGACGGGUGAGUAAUGCUUGGGAAUCUGCCUAUUAGUGGGGGACAACCCGGGGAAACUCGGGCUAAUACCGCAUACGCUCUACGGAGGAAAGCCGGGACCGCAAGGCCUGGCGCUAAUAGAUGAGCCCAAGUCGGAUUAGCUAGUUGGUAGGGUAACGGCCUACCAAGGCGACAAUCCGUAGCUGGUCUGAGAGGACGACCAGCCACACCGGAACCGAGACACGGUCCGGACUCCUACGGGAGGCAGCAGUGGGGAAUCUUGCGCAAUGGGCGAAAGCCUGACGCAGCGACGCCGCGUGAGGGAUGACGGCCU
rnacentral:rRNA from 1 species